rnacentral:rRNA from 1 species
GCAAGACUAACAUAUUGAACACUGUCAUGAAGUUUGCAGUCUGAGUUUUUAGUUAAACAAUAAUUAAAACUUUCAACAACGGAUCUCUUGGUUCCGGCAUCGAUGAAGAACGCAGCGAAAUGCGAUAAUUAAUGUGAAUUGCAGAAUUCAGUGAAUCAUCGAGUCUUUGAACGCACAUUGCGCCCCCUGGUAUUCCGGGGGGCAUGCCUGUCCGAGCGUCAUUGCUGCCCUCAAGCACGGCUUGUGUGUUGGGCUUCCGUCCCUGGUAACGGGGACGGGCCCAAAAGGCAGUGGCGGCACCAUGUCUGGUCCUCGAGCGUAUGGGGCUUUGUCACCCGCUCCCGUAGGUCCAGCUGGCAGCUAGCCUCGCAACCAAUCUUUUUAACCAGGUUGACCUCGGAUCAGGUAGGGAUACCCGCUGAACUUAAGCAUAUCAUAGCC